AACGAGAGAUGAGGAGCUUGCUCUUCAAAUCGAGUGGCGAACGGGUGAGUAACGCGUGAGGAACCUGCCUCAAAGAGGGGGACAACAGUUGGAAACGACUGCUAAUACCGCAUAAGCCCACGGCCCGGCAUCGAGCAGAGGGAAAAGGAGUGAUCCGCUUUGAGAUGGCCUCGCGUCCGAUUAGCUGGUUGGUGAGGUAACGGCCCACCAAGGCGACGAUCGGUAGCCGGACUGAGAGGUUGAACGGCCACAUUGGGACUGAGACACGGCCCAGACUCCUACGGGAGGCAGCAGUGGGGAAUAUUGCACAAUGGGGGAAACCCUGAUGCAGCGACGCCGCGUGGAGGGAGAAGGUCUUCGGAUUGUAAACUCCUGUUGUUGAGGAAGAUAAUGACGGUACUCAACAAGGAAGUGACGGCUAACUACGUGCCAGCAGCCGCGGUAAAACGUAGGUCACAAGCGUUGUCCGGAAUUACUGGGUGUAAAGGGAGCGCAGGCGGGAGAACAAGUUGGAAGUGAAAUCCAUGGGCUCAACCCAUGAACUGCUUUCAAAACUGUUUUUCUUGAGUAGUGCAGAGGUAGGCGGAAUUCCCGGUGUAGCGGUGGAAUGCGUAGAUAUCGGGAGGAACACCAGUGGCGAAGCGGCCUACUGGGCACCAACUGACGCUGAGCUCGAAAGUGUGGGUAGCAAACAG
rnacentral:rRNA from 1 species